AAGCUCGUAGUUGAAUUUCGGGAUUGACACAUCGGUCGUGCCNUAAGGGGUAUGAACUGGUGUAGUCAAUUUCUCACCUUCUGGAGAACCGCGAUGCCCUUAAUUGGGUGUCACGGGGAACCAGGACCUUUACUUUGAAAAAAUUAGAGUGUUUAAAGCAGGCAUUUUGCUUGAAUACAUUAGCAUGGAAUAAUAAAAUAGGACGGCAUGAUUCUAUUUUGUUGGUUUCUAGGAUCNCCGUAAUGAUUAAUAGGGAUAGUUGGGGGCAUUAGUAUUCAAUUGUCAGAGGUGAAAUUCUUGGAUUUAUUGAAGACUAACUACUGCGAAAGCAUUUGCCAAGGAUGUUUUCAUUAAUCAAGAACGAAAGUUAGGGGAUCGAAGACGAUCAGAUACCGUCGUAGUCUUAACCAUAAACUAUGCCGACUAGGAAUCAGACGAUGUUAAUUUUUUAAUGACUCGUUUGGCACCUUACGGGAAACCAAAGUGUUUGGGUUCCGGGGGGAGUAUGGUCGCAAGGCUGAAACUUAAAGGAAUUGACGGAAGGGCACCACCAGGGGUGGAGCCUGCGGCUUAAUUUGACUCAACACGGGAAAACUUACCAGGUCCAGACAUAGUAAGGAUUGACAGAUUGAGAGCUCUUUCUUGAUUCUAUGGGUG
rnacentral:rRNA from 1 species